GUAAUCAUAUGUAUUUCACUAUAUUUUUCAUCGACUCAGUCCUCUAUAUCACUGUUUUUCUCAUUAUAGCCCCCAAAUAUCAUAAAUGUUUCCAUAUAUUUUUGUUGACACAAUUAUAUGUAUUCAUAUAAAUAUAUUUCAUUCAAUUUCUUUUUAUGUACUUAAUGUAUAUCUCACUGUUUCUAAAAAAAUUUCACAGAUUUGUACUUUUUAUGAUGUUGUUCCAACCACUGCUGAGUUGGAACGACUUAAUUUGCCUCCUGUUAUUUCACAAGCUAUCCCUAACCCAACAGACGGAGUUGAAGUUGGCGAAGGCAACGAGAUGGUUGAUGAUGUCUAUGAUGACUUCAGUACCACACCACCACACAAUGUAAGGGGUAAGCAGCAACAACGGUCUGCCGUAUCUGAUUCACCGCCUCAUAAGAAACGCAGACAGGUUUCAGUUACAGAUUCUACUGUUAGGAAACAACCAGCCCGGAACGAACCACUCACAACAUCGAAGGACGCUUCAACAUCAAGGCAUCGUGAUAUCCAAACAGCCACCAAAAUUGAUGAGGUGAAACUGCUCAGACAAGAGUUUCAAGCUUUUAAGAAAGAUGUAUCUGCUCAGUUUAUUGAUCUUAACAAGUCCAUGAAUGAUAUUCGCAAGUGCAUCGAUGUCAACUUCAAAAAGGUUGUUGAGGCAAUAAAGGGAAAUCAAACCUCAGAAAAGGUAAAUCCAAAAUAAAAUUGAUUUUAUUCACAAAAUACAGAUUUUGAAUGAAAACUGUUCCCAUACUUUUACGAAUAACAUAUAUAUAUAUAUUUUUCAAGGCUGCUGAUAGUGAAGCUCCGGUAAAUCAAUACGAGGUUGGCAUACAAUACUCGCAUGAAUUCAAUCAAGAACAACAUUAUGCCAAAGAGACAUCAACUGUCAAAGACGGUAUUGAUGAAAAUAAGAUGAAGGUUGCAAGCACAAUGUUAACUGGCGAUGUUUCUGGUGUUGGAAUGCGCCGAAGUACACAAAGUGGGGAUACUUUAAAGGCUUCAACUGAAGAUAUUCAAGUUAGCGGUGAAAUAUUCCCGAAGCCAACACAACCACAGGGUGAGGCAAUCAUGGUGCAUACACAUGUGUCGGUUCUGCUGUGAAUGUAGGCCAACAAAUUCUGGUCACAAGUGAUGAAAAAAAGAGUGGAGAGGUGUUAUCAACACCACAUUUGCAACCUGAGCAGGCUGUACAAUUUCAACAAGGUGGGGUAAAUGAUAAUGCAGAAUUUAGUGCAUCAGAGCAAAUGGUAGCAGAGUUGCUAAUCCAGUGUCCUCUUGCCACUGUGAUUCCACUUGGUCCCCCUGCAAUACAAGUCAAUGAUCAAGCUGAUCCCUAUAUGUUUAAGACCCCUCAGAGCAGCAAAGUUGAGAACGUUGUACCAAAUUCUCAAUGGUUAAUUCCUGAUGAUCAAUUACCCAGCCAACUUGGAGUACAACCAACAACAGGGCAAGGUUCAACAGCUGAAGUAGCACAACCUUCAAUCGAAAAUACUGAACGCCGAAUGAUUGUCCACCCAAGCAUUGUGCAAGAUAGGAAACCCAGCAAAUACACUGUGUCCCCUUUCAUGCCAAAUUACAGCUCAGCGGGAUCUUCUGCAAGGUCUUCUGUCCCUAUCAAAUUUGAAAAGAAGCACCCCUUUGUAGAACAUCCAAUCAAUGCCCCUGUGGACACGACGUAUUUUCAAGAAUAUGAAAAUUAGCUCAAGAAGGAUCUAUUAUUAAGGCGUGAUAAAAAAAGAGACAAGGAAAACCACUAUAGAAAAAACAAGGAAUUAGUGGAUCCUGAAGAUGCCGAUAUGUCACUCAAGUUAGGCGUCACACUUGUUAAAGACAAAAACUGGUUCUACUUGUUAUCAAUGGAAGGGAAACUUUGGAAUAAUGAGCAUCUUGAUGUUAUUUUUUAUUACCUCCGUAAGAAAGGCAAAUAUGAAGAUAACAGCAUAUAUAAAUUUACCACCGUCAGCUGUAUACUACAUACAUAAUCACCGAGAUUUACCAUGCUUGGAACAAUCCGGAAUCAUCCACAAGUUUUGCUAGUAAGGAAUCUGAUGUAUGUGAGUACAUAAACGGGUACAGGUUGAUGGGUAAUGUACCAUGGCAUACAGUUAACAACGUAUUAAUCCCUGUCAAUCUGAAAGAGGAAAAUCACUGGAUUUUAGUGGUAAUAUCAUUCAUUGACAGAUGUCUGUAUGUGUACGACUCAUAUUGAACUGCAGGGCAUGAUGUCGUCAUUAGGAGAGAAGUGAACAUGUUGGUUGCCCUUGUGCCACAUCAUCUACAAAUGUCCGGUUUUUAUGAAAAGAAGAAGGAUAUAGAUUUUUCAGAAUCACCCCGCUUACAAAAACAGAGCACUAAAUGACGAUUUUGAUGUCGUUAAUGUGGACGAUCUACCACAACAACCCCCUGGAAGCAUGGAUUGUGGUGCAUAUGUGGCAGCUUUUGCUAAAUUCUUGAGCUCGGGUGAAGGCAUUCCAGUCAAUAUUGAUUCAAAGUUUCACCGUCAGAGAUAUGGUGCACUUCUUUGCGACUAUGCUUGGGGAAAGGCAAACCAGAAUGCAGAAAGUGAUAACGAGCAACCAGCAAGACCAGUCAGGCCUAUAGUUGAUUACGAUGCAGUGAAUAUAGUAGAUGACGUAGAGUAGAUGUUGGGGUAGAUUAGAUGUUGUUUAGUUCAAGACAUUUUUUCGUGUGUUUUUGAUGUUGAACAUCAGUGUGUGGAUCGGUUAAUAUUACUUUUAGACAAUAUCUUUUUCUUUCAGAAUACAACGAGUAUGGUGUUGUCUUUUGUUUAGUGUUCUCGGAUGUUAUUAAAUACACUCGUAUUCUG